AAAACUUUGUACUCUUUUCUUUUAAUCAGUAUUUGUCUAUUUGUUCUAAAAAAAAAAAAACAAAGUUCCAAAACGCUGAAACACCAAUUCAUAUCACAAAAUUGCAAACCCAUUAACACCAACUCUUAUCACAAAAUUGCAAACCCAUUCAAACGGACACACCAACACUUUACGAUGUGAAUCGCAGUGUUUGCUCGAGUUCGUCGAUUGAGGUCGCUUACCAAUAGAUUUGAUAUUUAGCUCAGUUGAUUGCGUCUGCUUCUCUCCAGGUACUCACUCUGUCAUAAUUUUUUUGUAUUUAUUUUGCAAUUCUCAACAGUUGAUUCUGAAUUGUAGUCCCAUAUUCCUUUGAUAUACACUUUAUGCCUGAGAUGCGUAAUACAAUUUUUGGGGUUUAUUUUUGGGGGUUUGUGCCAUUAAAAUUUUUGAAUUAAAUUUUUUAGUGUUCUCUUUGGUAUUUUUUCUUAAAAUUUAUUCUAGAUUGGUUUCUUCUUAUGCUGCAAGGAAGUGUUGAAAUUUUGGAGAUUUAAGCUUAUGUGUUUGCUUUCUUAAGAGGAUUUAUACUUUAUGCUUAAGAUGCG